rnacentral:tRNA from 1 species
GGAAGUGUGCCUGAAAGUUAAGGAUCUCCUUGAUAGGGAGAACAAUAGAAGUUCGAACCUCC